AAUGUUGCAGUCGUAUGUAAGGCUCUGCUUGAUAAUUCUUUACGGAGAGUAGGUCUUUUCAAUAUCGGUUGUUGUGUAGUUAGAGUGAAACCCGGACACGAUAACGUUUGCAAGGGCUUGCUAAUUCCUAACUUAGGAAUAUGAAGUAGGGGGGAUUGUGAUGCUUCAAUUGUACAAUCUACAAACAUCUCAGCGGUACUGCUUUCAGGUUGUUCAUUAUGAUCCACAGGACUUGUAACACGCAUUUUCUGCAUAGAGUUUACUACGGUUUGCAUGUGUCUUUGAUAACGAGCAUCCAUGUCACGCAGUUGCUUUUCCAACUCACGUCGCAAUAUCUCUUCACGUUGGGCUAAGCGAGAAGCUAUAACGUUUUCGAGUUCACUUUCCCGAGCAGAAAGCCUUUGCUCGCGAAAUUGGAGAUCAUUUUCCAAUUGAAUAAGCAUCUGAUGUUUUUUAUGAAGCAAAUCGCUUUGUUCCAAGACUACUCUCUCGGAUUCCAAUUUACUACGAAUAUCGGAUAAAAUAGGAGAGCGAAGUAGCUGGUAAGUAGUAGGUCUGAGGUCUGAAUUAACUUCUAAGCAAUGCCUGAUUAGAAGGAAAACAUCGUCGCUGUAAUGAUGAUCCCAACAGGAGAGAUUACCCUGGCAAAUAUUACGUUGCAAUUCCAAAUACGACCUUCCUUCAAAGGGAUGCGUAAGCAUGCAGAUCUCAAAAAUAACACAGCCAAGAGCCCAAACAUCAGACUUCGCACUGUAAGGGCUGCUCCGAAUUAUUUCAGGAGACAUAUAGUAUGGAGUUCCCACGUAACUCUGUGUGAAGACACGCGUAUUGUCCAGCAAUUUGGAUAAACCAAAGUCUCCUAACUUAACUGAAUUAUUUUCAUCAAGAAAUAUAUUCGCAGGUUUGAUAUCUCGAUGCAAUACAGAUUGUUUAGGAUGAAAAAUUUCUCUUGGCCACUGUGAGUCACAAGCAGGCGCAUUUUCUCCAUAAUGGCAGCGAUACAGAGCAAGUAGUAAUUGCGUAAAAAAUUUGAGAACCUCUUGCUCGGUAAAUCUCUUUUUCUCUUCUUUAUAACGUUGAAUAAGAUUGGCUAAAUCACCAUGACCACAAUAUUCCAUAUAAAGGUUUAUUACCUGCGCAGAACGAUUCAAUUCUUCUCCGCAGUAUUGAACAAUAUUUGGAUGCUUAAGAUUACGAAGAAUAUUCACUUCAUCUGCGAUGUACUGCUUUUCCUGCCGAGUAAUGUUACCAAAGUGUAUUU